UGGGGCAAGUAUGGACACAACACUCAAGCUGGAUUCAGCUCUAAAUUUGGAUUGUGAUUAAAUAGUUGACACAGCAUAGGUUUCUGACACAAAAUUAAUGUGUUCUAAUGAACUUAAAAUUUUUGUUUUGUCUUUGAGCAAUUCACUAUGCUGGUGAAUAUAAAUCCUCUCAAAAAAAUGUUUAAAGAAAUUUUCUUUUUAUUGAUGAAAUCUGAAAUGAGAAAAAUUGAACCCCCCCACCCAAUUUUUUUUUCCACAUCC
rnacentral:lncRNA from 1 species